CUAGAUUACUGACUGAUCGCCUGCUUUUGCAGGAGGAAAGUCCGGGCAGCAUAGGGAAUGGCAGUCGCUAACGGCGACCGGGGGUGACCCUAGGGAAAGUGCCACAGAAACAAUACCGCCGCGCACUACGUUUCGGCUGCAGGCGUGGUAAGGGUGAAAAGAGCAAGGUAAGAGCUUGUAAGUCUCCAUGGUGACAUGUAGAAAUGGUAAACCCUGCCUGCUGCAAGGAGAUGGAUUCUUUAAGGCUAAACCUUGAAGCGUCCCGCUAAGGAUUCAUCGUAAGAACCGCUUGAGCCUUUGAGCAAUCACUGGCCUAGAUAGAUGAUUAGUCUCGACAAAACCCGGCUUACAGGUAAUCUAGCCAC
rnacentral:RNase_P_RNA from 1 species